rnacentral:snRNA from 1 species
AUUGCUUCUCGGCCUUUUGGCUGAGAUCAAGUGAAGAAUCUCAUGGUUUGCCUCCCUCUAUGUUUUUAUCUUAUUUUCCCUUCCCUUCCCCUGUGUUCAUCCGUUGUGUUUCUUUAAUUCCAUAUAUGGGUGAAAUCAUA